UGCCAGACUCCUACGGGAGGCAGCAGUGAGGAAUAUUGGUCAAUGGGCGCGAGCCUGAACCAGCCAAGUCGCGUGAGGGAGGACGGCCCUACGGGUUGUAAACCUCUUUUGCCGGGGAGCAACGGGCGUCACGUGUGGCGCCACUGAGAGUACCCGGAGAAAAAGCAUCGGCUAACUCCGUGCCAGCAGCCGCGGUAAUACGGAGGAUGCGAGCGUUAUCCGGAUUUAUUGGGUUUAAAGGGUGCGUAGGCGGGCUUUUAAGUCAGCGGUAAAAAUUCGGGGCUCAACCCCGUCCGGCCGUUGAAACUGGCAGUCUCGAGUUGGAGAGAAGUAUGCGGAAUGCGCGGUGUAGCGGUGAAAUGCAUAGAUAUCGCGCAGAACUCCGAUUGCGAAGGCAGCAUGCCGGCUCCACACUGACGCUGAGGCACGAAAGCGUGGGUAUCGAACAGGAUUAGAUACCCUCGUA
rnacentral:rRNA from 1 species